GACGAACGCUGGCGGCGUGCUUAACACAUGCAAGUCGAACGCUGAAGCUCAGCUUUUGUUGGGUGGAUGAGUGGCGAACGGGUGAGUACACGUGAGUAACCUGCCCCCUUCUUUGGGGUAACGCCCGGAAACGGGUGCUAAUACUGGAUAUUCACUGGUCUUCGCAUGGGGGUUGGUGGAAAGGGUUUUUCUGGUGGGGGAUGGGCUCGCGGCCUAUCAGCUUGUUGGUGGGGUGAUGGCCUACCAAGGCUUUGACGGGUAGCCGGCCUGAGAGGGUGACCGGUCACAGUGGGACUGAGAUACGGCCCAGACUCCUACGGGAGGCAGCAGUGGGGAAUAUUGCACAAUGGGCGCAAGCCUGAUGCAGCGACGCCGCGUGAGGGAUGGAGGCCUUCGGGUUGUGAACCUCUUUCGCUCAUGGUCAAGCCGCAACAAUGGUUGUGGUGAGGGUAGUGGGUAAAGAAGCGCCGGCUAACUACGUG
rnacentral:rRNA from 1 species